GUUUGUUUACUUAUUUAUUUAUUUUUAAAUUGAGAUAUAACUAAGGUAUAACAUUAUAUCAGUUUAAGGUGUACAACAUAGUGAUUUGACGUUUGUACAUAUUGCUAAGUAAUCACCACAAUAAGUCUAGUUAACAUCCUUUAUCAUACAUAGUUACAAAUUCUUUUUUCUUGUGAUGAGAACGUUUAAAACCUACUCUCUUAGCAACUUUAAAAUAUGCAUUACAGUAUUAUUAACUAAAGUCACCAUGCUGUACAUUACAUCCCCAGGACUUAUUUAUUUUGUAACUGGAACUUUGUAACUUUUGAUGACCUUCACCUAUUCCCCCUGAAUUUGUAGUCCGCUUGACAGAAGUGUGGGCAGCCUGGGAACCCAUUGCCACUGGUGUCUGAAGCGGGAGCAGUCCUGUAGGACGGAGCCCUUAACCUGUGGGGUCUGAUGCUAACUCCAGGUUUGAGAGAGCAUCAUGGAAUUCCUUCCAAGGAUGCAAGAGGAAGAAGAAUCUCUUUCAAUUUCCAGUAGAAUUCAUUGCAGUGAGUUUAUGCCAACAAUUGAUCCCAGCACCUGUGUGCAGGACCUGCUGCUUUUGGAACCCAACUGCCAUGAUGUGAGAAGCCCAAGUCACAUGGAGAAGCUCUACCUAUACUCCCUGCCAACAGCCAACAUCAAUUGCUAGUCAUGGGAGUGAGCCAUCUUGGCCAUCCAGCCCAACUGAGGAUGACUGCAACUGCCUGAGAGAUCCCACACAACUCACAGAAAUGUUCAGUCAACUCACAGAAAUGCGAGAGACAAUAUUAAAUUUAAGUUUUCAGGUGGUUUGUUAUACAGCUGUAGGUAACAGGGAUUUUAAAAAUACCAAUUUUAUUCAUUCAAAC
rnacentral:lncRNA from 1 species